UCAGGCGGCAGUAGCGCGGUGGUCCCACCUGACCCCAUGCCGAACUCAGAAGUGAAACGCCGUAGCGCCGAUGGUAGUGUGGGGUCUCCCCAUGCGAGAGUAGGGAACUGCCAGAC
rnacentral:rRNA from 1 species